rnacentral:lncRNA from 1 species
UUGAUAAUGCUCGUUGUAAGUCUUGUUUUUGUUACGUUUAUGCAUUUCUUUUUUCAAAGAUAUAUCCUCAUUCGUCAUUGGUUAUCAAAAUUGACCUCUGGUGCUGCUCGUAUUCUUCCUAACAUCAUUUUCAGCUACCAUUAACAUGAAAACAGAAAUAAUGCUUCGAAUGAAUGAUAUAUCAUGCCGCAAUUCGAAGGCCUAUAAACAACCCAAACCUCACCAUGUGUACAAAGUACAAAUCUUGAACCUGCUCCAUAAACUAGAGUAUUACAAUAGUAUUGAUAAAUUUUGAUUUUUCGUCC